rnacentral:lncRNA from 1 species
GAAGCGCAAUCGGCGUCUCACUUGCUGAUUGGCUGACCGCCAUGUUGAGCCCGUAAUACAUUCUGUUGGGAAACUAACCGCAACCGGCGUACCUGACAGUAGGCUGUAAUCUUCGCAAUGCCUUCUCCAUUUGGACAAUCUUACUGAACAUCUUACGCAACUGCUGCAAGCCUAAAUUACGCUCAAUUGUUAAGUCUUGAAUAACUUGUGAUGCUUUGUUACACUGUAAUAUCAGUUCAUCAAUUGUACAACAUUUUACUUUGGGAACCAGUAUAGAAGGGAUUGAAUGUCUUUCUUGAAUAGAAUAAAUCUACAACAUAAUUUAUAACAAACGACGUGAAACCAUUAUAAUUAAAUUAAAUUAUUAUUAUAUUAUUAAGUUGACUUUUUAUAAUUGUGAAUACAUUAUAUUAAUACUGACCUUUGUAGAAUUUGAUUCGUGAAUAGAUAUAUUAUGAGCCUUAUUA